AGUGAACGCUGGCGGUAGGCCUAACACAUGCAAGUCGAACGGCAGCACAGUAAGAGCUUGCUCUUACGGGUGGCGAGUGGCGGACGGGUGAGGAAUACAUCGGAAUCUACUUUUUCGUGGGGGAGAACGUAGGGAAACUUACGCUAAUACCGCAUACGACCUACGGGUGAAAUCAGGGGAUCUUCGGACCUUGCGCGAUUGAAUGAGCCGAUGUCGGAUUAGCUAGUUGGCGGGGUAAAGGCCCACCAAGGCGACGAUCCGUAGCUGGUCUGAUAGGAUGAUCAGCCACACUGGAACUGAGACGCGGUCCAGACUCCUACGGGAGGAAGCAGUGGGGAAUAUUGGACAAUGGGCGCAAGCCUGAUCCAGCCAUACCGCGUGGGUGAAGAAGGCCUUCGGGUUGUAAAGCCCUUUUGUUGGGAAAGAAAAGCAGCAGGUUAAUACCCCGCUGUUCUGACGGUACCCAAAGAAUAAGCACCGGCUAACUUCGUG
rnacentral:rRNA from 1 species